CUUCCUGCAAGCGGGGGGGGGGGGUUGCUUUCCUCUGCUGCAAAGGCUUCCUUGCUCUCUUCCACUGGGAUCUGACGCUGCUUACUCCUUUGGGAAGGGCAAUCCUCUCCUGGGAUCUGAGGAGGCCAGCCAAGCAGAUCAAGCCGAGCUUUAUGAGGAGCUGGGUAUGUUGAGUUGGAGAAGAGGGGACAGAGAGGAGAUGGGAGAGCCAUGUCACCUGGGCGCAGGAUUCCAACCCAUGGCUUCAAGCUACAAGAAAAGAGAUUCGGACUCAACACACCUAGUCAUUUUUCACGAGGCACCAAUGACUCCCUUGUCAAUCAGUUCUGACUUCAUGCAUUGACUGGAAGGAAGGAGCAACCAGGCUGAGUCCCCUCACAUUAAUCUCUUCGCUUGCCUCCACAUUUCCACAAUCUCCCUUCUAGAGGCCUACAUCUCCUCCUCCUCCUUUUUAGAAAGAUAGCUCAG